rnacentral:rRNA from 1 species
AGCAGCCGCGGUAAUUCCAGCUCCAAUAGCGUAUAUUAAAGUUGUUGCAGUUAAAAAGCUCGUAGUUGAAUUUCGGGAUCGAAUUGUUGGUCGUGCUUCGGUACGCACUGGCAUUAUCGGUUUCUACCUUCUGAAGAACCGCGAUGUCAUUAAUUUGGUGUCGUGGGGAAUCAGGACUGUUACUUUGAAAAAAUUAGAGUGUUUAAAGCAGGCUUACGCUUGAAUACAUUAGCAUGGAAUAAUGAAAUAGGACGUUUGAUUCUAUUUUGUUGGUUUCUAGGAUCGACGUAAUGAUUAAUAGGGAUAGUUGGGGGCAUUAGUAUUCAAUUGUCAGAGGUGAAAUUCUUGGAUUUAUUGAAGACUAACUACUGCGAAAGCAUUUGCCAAGGAUGUUUUCAUUAAUCAAGAACGAAAGUUAGGGGACCGAAGACGAUCAGAUACCGUCGUAGUCUUAACCAUAAACUAUGCCGACUAGGGAUCGGAUGAUGUUAAUUUUAUAAUGACUC